rnacentral:lncRNA from 1 species
GACAAAAUAAAAAUUCCCACUCGUUCUCACUGUUGUCCUCAAAUCGACUUAACUAGCUCUUCCUGUUGAUAUGUGAUUCUCCCGAUGUAGUGGCUCAACAAACGCCAAAUCCACGAAGCUCCACCGCCACGCUUGUUGCCUUCCCCAUGUGACACCAACUCCACCGUAACUUCAUAGUGCGACACCCAAUCACUGCAUCAAACCAGCUCCACUGCACCCCACCACGCGACACCAUCUCUACCAUGCAAUACCACUCUUCUCCCUGUCUUUCACCACUUAAGGUUUCAUCUUUAAUUUGGGUUUGAUUUUUUAAUUAAGGUUUGAUUUCUAAAUUUGGGUUUGAUUUUAUUUGCUUUCAAUUUAAUCAUGUUCGUCCAUUAUAAUCAAACAUCUGUGGCAAUUGAUUUUUGGAAAAUAAGGGGCCAAUUGCUCGCGGUGGGUUUUUAGAUUUGAUUCAGGGAUAACAAUAAGUUGCGGCCUUUUACUUAUGAGUGCAGAGCUAGGAAAGAGAGAAUUCUUGUCUCAGCAGUUUUCGACUACUAAAAAGAUUUUUGCAGCAUAGAUCAAUUGAGGAUGGUUUUAAUUUAUAUUAUAUUCUGCAUUAACUAUUAGUGAAGCACAAAAAAUUACCCCUGUUUGAAUUAGAUGUGAACAAAUGAAUACACAUCUUUGCUUAUACAUUUUAUGCAUAUGUGUGAAAUGCUGCAGUAAGGUGCAAAAGCAUAUACUUGAAUGUCUUUAUCCAUAAUGAACAACCAGUAGCAGGUAGCCAAAUGUGUGGUCUAAGGAUUGCAUAAGGAUGACAUAUCUAUUAAACUGAUAGUUCAUCUUUUACCAUGAAGAUUAGAGGCCUAAAGCAUACAGGGAAGCUAGAGCUUUUAUAACUUGGUUAGCAACAUUGGAUAAUUAACUUCUAUAGUGCUAAAAUCUAAGACUAAGAUAAGAUUAAUUGCUUCAGGCAUCUUUACUGAAAUAUAAGAGAAUAAGAAUUUGUCAAGUAAGAGUAAAUAGUUGAGAAGGAACACAAAUGCAAUACUAUGGCUAAGAACAUAGUCGAAGGUGCAAUAUUAGAAAAUACAUUUAAGGCUGUUAACCUUAUAAAUUGCACUAGGCAAAUAUUGGACUUGGGGUCCAUAUAUUAUUAUUACUAUUAUUACUAUUAUGAUGAUGAUGAUGAUGAUGUUAGUAGGAAUUUGCAUUACUAGCUGAUUGUACUGCACUUUUUGGUCAAAAGAUAAAAUUCAAAAGACAGUAACUUUCUAAACAAAUGAUUAAAGAGCAAACCAAAAAUUCAAAAACACCAAUAUUAUUGAACAUUAUCUUAUUUUAUAUAAUAUAUGACCACUUGUACAGUAAUAUUAAUGGAUAAUCUUUGUUUGGACAAAAUCAUGCUGUGUGGGGAUAAAAAAGUUCUCAAAUUUUGUUGUCCAUUCAUAAAUUAAAAAGAAAAAAAAUGUUUAUGAAUAAUAAGUUUGAGUCUAAGUUAAUUUUCAGUUCAGCGGUUGCUAAAAGUUUAGUUACCUUUGAGGUUGGUAAGAAUUUAAGGGAAUAAUUAUUCCAUGACAACCCAGUAUAUAUUCACCAGGCAUUUUAAAGUAUUAUGGCUAUGUGAGAUAAUUAAGUACUAUACUUUUCUGAAAUAAAAAAUUGGUUUUUGGUUGUUCUAUCUUCAACAAAGUGGAGAGAUUCAUCAUAUAUUAUGCAUGCAUUUGGGCAGAUUUGAGAGCAAUGAAUUGGUAAAACCAUAUGAUUCAAGACAAUGAGAAAUUUGCAACACAAGUUGAACAAUGUAUAAAGAAGAAUUCUUAUAAGUACUUAGUAGUUGUUAUAUACGCACACCAUAUUAUCAAAUGUUGCAUACCUUACAUGAAUUUUUUCCCAAGUUAAUUAUUCAUUGAAAUUGACAUUUUUUUUAUUCAUUUCAAUGGGGUUAUUUUUAUUUAGGUUCCAAAACAAAUACAUUAACUGGAAUUUCCUUCCAACGGCUACUACUUGCUCCCAAUGAGUUUAAUUUCUUAGCAUUUAUUAUUUUUACUUCAAGAAAUGGCCUAUGAAAUAUAAUUCCUUGGAUUUCAAUAUAUUUCUUCUACCCUCUAUUAAAUCGUGUGAUAGGCAUGAUUUUGUGGUUGAUCUAGUCAAAUGAGAAUGGAUCAAAUGUUCUAUUUCCUUUACCAUUUAUUAUGAUUAUUAAUACACACACACAAAAACAUAUGUAUACAUAUAUUUGCCUCUUGUGUCUACUUUGUGAUUCUAUUCAGUUCAAGUGUUGAAACAUAGUCCUUAUAGAAAUUUAUCAAAUGGUCUAUUAUCUGAUUUUUUUUCCAUUUUACUGGUUGUGUUAGAUAUGGACAUGGGAAGAAAAUUUUCUUUUAUCAUGUGGCAAAUGAAAUUGAGGUUCAUGUUCAUUAUGAUGCAUUUUUUGUUAAGAUGUUGAUCCGAAGGCAUAACAAAAGAAAAAUGAUUCGUAGUCGUACAUUCCAAUUCCAUGUUACUUGAUUACAAUACUCAGGUAGCAUUAUAAGCAAUAGUGACAUAUAAUGUAUAAAUAAACUAAGAAUAGAUGGAAGGACAUUUGGCCUACUAUGUGAGCUACUUUGAUCGCAUGAGGGACUAAAGACUAAUGGUUCAUUGGCUGUUGAAGAGCAAGUUUGCAUGUUCCUACAUACUUUAUCUUAUCAUGUUAAGAAUUGCACAAUUAGCAGUAGGUUUUUUAGAUCUGGUGAGAAUAUUAUUAGAUACUUCAACUCAAUGUUAAGCGGAGCAUCACGACUACACAAUGUUUUAUUAAGUGCGCCAGACUUGGCCUACUAUGUGAGCUACUUUGAUCGCAUAGGGGACUAAAGACUAAUGGUUCAUUGGUUGUUGAAGAGCAAGUUUGCAUGUUCCUACACACUUUGUCUUAUUAUGUUAAGAAUCGCACAAUUAGUAAUAGGUUUCUUAGAUCUGGUGAGACUAUUAUUAGAUACUUCAACUCAAUGUCAAGAAGAACACCAAGGCUACACAAUGUUUUAUUAAGGGCACCAGACCUUACACCAGAGAAUUGCACUAAUGAGAGGUGGAAGUGGUUUAAGGUACAUUAUCAAUUACUUAUAUUUUAUUAAAGCUACUGAUAAUUUAAUGCUAAUUAAAUUUUCAUUUGUUUUAUGUAUAUAGAAUUGCUUGUGGGCAUUAGAUGGAACUUAUAUCAGAGUUCAUGUGCCAAAAAAUAUUGAUAAGCCAAGAUAUUGAACAAGAAAGGUGAGAUUGCUGCAAAUGUUUUAGGGGUAUGUUCACGAGAUAUGAAAUUCAUCUUCAUGAUGCCCGAAUGGGAAGGCUCUGCCUCUAACUUAAGAGUACUUCGCAAUGCAUUAAAUAAGUCAACUGGUUUAAAAGUUCCUACAAGUAUUACUCAUUCCAAAAAAAUUAAUUUAACCAAAUUACGUAUUCAAAAACAAAAUUAUAUUAAUGUUUAUGUGAAAUAAAUAGCUUAUUACUAUCUUGUGGAUGAUGGAUAUACAAAUACUGAAGGAUACUUUGCACCAUAUACGACAACGAGAUAUCACUUAUCAGAAUGGAGAGAUAGGUGUGCUCCUCGCAAUAAAGAAGAAUUCUUUAACAUGAAACAUUCAUCAGUAAGAAAUGUAAUUGAGCAGUGUUUUGGAUUGCUCAAAAUGCGAUGGGCCAUUCUUCGAAGUCCUUUAUUUUAUUCAAUUAAAACCCACUGUUGCAUUAUUACUACCUGUUGUUUAUUGCAUAAUCUGAUAAGGAAAGAAAUGUCUGUGGAUCCAAUAGAGAAUGAAUUAGUUGACAUAUCUAAUAAUGAAGUAGAAGAUAAUGAUAACAUAAGUAGCAUUGAAGCUUCAGACCAGUGGAAGAGCUAGAGGAACGAUUUAGCUACUACUAUGUACAAUAAUUGGCUUAGAAAUUAAUACUCAUCUAAUAGAUAGAUGUCAUUAGAAAAGCAUUUGAGCUUGUACUUUUGUUAGUAUAUCGAUGUCAUUAGAAAAGUACAUGAGCUUGUACUUUUGUUAGUAUAUAGAUGUCAUUAGGAAAGCAUUUGAGCCUGUACUUUUGUUAGUAUAUAGACCUUAUAAAAUAAGUUUUGAGCCUAUACUUUUGUUAGUAUAUAGAUAUCACUAGGAAAGUAUCUAAAGAUGUAACCUUUUGUUUAUAUUUGAUAUUAUUAGAAGUUUAUCGGGGGUUACUUAUGUGAAUUCACUUGGCAUUAUGUUUCAAUUACUUGUUUAAAAAAUUAUUAUAAUAUUUAUUUUGUAGGAAUGAAGAGUGAAGGCCCAAGCCGUACUGCUGGAAAUAAGAUAGGCUCGGACGAGCAUGGACAAAAGAUGAAGAAAAAGCAAUGUUGAAUAUUUGAGAUGCUAUAGUUGCAAAUGGUAGUCGAGAUGAUAAUGGCACCUCCAAAUCUAGAAGUUACAAAUAUAUUGCAGAUGAAAUUAGAAAAACUAUUACCAGGUAAUGGUUUGAAGGCGUCCCACAUAUUGACU